UAAGGAAUAUUGCACAAUGGGCGAAAGCCUGAUGCAGCAACGCCGCGUGAGCGAUGAAGGCCUUCGGGUCGUAAAGCUCUGUCCUCAAGGAAGAUAAUGACGGUACUUGAGGAGGAAGCCCCGGCUAACUACGUGCCAGCAGCCGCGGUAAUACGUAGGGGGCUAGCGUUAUCCGGAAUUACUGGGCGUAAAGGGUGCGUAGGUGGUUUCUUAAGUCAGAGGUGAAAGGCUACGGCUCAACCGUAGUAAGCCUUUGAAACUGGGAAACUUGAGUGCAGGAGAGGAGAGUGGAAUUCCUAGUGUAGCGGUGAAAUGUGUAGAUAUUAGGAGGAACACCAGUUGCGAAGGCGGCUCUCUGGACUGUAACUGACACUGAGGCGCGAGAGCGUGGGUAGCAAACA
rnacentral:rRNA from 1 species